rnacentral:lncRNA from 1 species
CCAUGCACUACAGUAGCAAUUCUAAUGGCACGAAGCUGAGCACCGGAGACAUAACCUCACUCCUCUGGCUAUAAAAAGCCAGCCUCGGGUGCUCACUCUCACCAUCCGAGAAACACGUUCACUCACUCGCUCACUUACUCUCACUUCGCGUAUACCGUAUACAGCCAUACGCACAAGCUGAGCUCGACUGUCGUCGCAAGACGAGGUGAGCAGCUCAUGAGCAUCUCCUUGCUCUUCUCUGUCUUUCUGUAGUAUUUUUCUGUAUUUUUUUUUGUAUUUGUCUGUACCGAUUCAUUGCCAAGAACUCUACGAAUAGAACCAUGACAUACAGAAGAACUCUAAUGACCCCUGCUAAUUUCUCUCUAACCAUGCAUGUGUGGGCCAUAAGCAUUAACUCCAAAUAGUACAUGCAUGCAU